GAUGAAGAACGUAGCGAAAUGCGAUACGUAAUGUGAAUUGCAGAAUUCAGUGAAUCAUCGAAUCUUUGAACGCAUAUUGCGCUCUCUGGUAUUCCGGAGAGCAUGCUUGUUUGAGUAUCAGUAAACACCUCAACUUCCAUAUCUUUUUUUGAAAUGGGAGUUGGACUUGAGUGAUCCCAACGCUUUUCCUCACCGAAAAGUGGCGGGUUACUUGAAAUGCAGGUGCAGCUGGACUUUUCUCUGAGCUAUAAGCAUAUCUAUUUAGUCUGCCUAAAAAACAGAUUAUUACCUUUGCUGCAGCUAACAUAAAGGAGAUUAGUUCUUAUGCUGACUGAUGCAGGAUUCACAAAGACAGCUUCGGCCGACUUUGUAAACUCGAUCUCAAAUCAAGUAAGACUACCCGCUGAACUUAAGCAUAUCAAUAAGCGGAGGA
rnacentral:misc_RNA from 1 species